UACACGCCGCGUGAGGGAUGAAGGCCUCUGGGCUGUAAACCUCUUUUCUCAAGGAAGAAGAUCUGACGGUACUUGAGGAAUAAGCCACGGCCAAUUCCGUGCCAGCAGCCGCGGUAAUACGGGAGUGGCAAGCGUUAUCCGGAAUUAUUGGGCGUAAAGCGUCCGCAGGCGGCCUUACAAGUCUGUCGUUAAAGCGUGGAGCUUAACUCCAUUUAAGCGAUGGAAACUGUAAGGCUAGAGUGUGGUAGGGGCAGAGGGAAUUCCCGGUGUAGCGGUGAAAUGCGUAGAUAUCGGGAAGAACACCAGUGGCGAAGGCGCUCUGCUGGGCCAUAACUGACGCUCAUGGACGAAAGCCAGGGGAGCGAAAGGGAUUAGAUACCCCUGUAGUCCUGGCCGUAAACGAUGAACACUAGGUGUCGGGGGAAUCGACCCCCCCGGUGUCGUAGCCAACGCGUUAAGUGUUCCGCCUGGGGAGUACGCACGCAAGUGUGAAACUCAAAGGAAUUGACGGGGGCCCGCACAAGCGGUGGAGUAUGUGGUUUAAUUCGAUGCAACGCGAAGAGCCUUACCUACCCUUGACAUCCAGAGAAUCUGUUAGAGAUAGUAGAGUGGCUUCG
rnacentral:rRNA from 1 species